AUGUGAGUUUCAUUAUAGAGAUGUAACUAUCCAGAAUUUAAAUUUGUUUAAAAUUUCUAGUCAUGGGUCGACCUUUGAUGGAUAGGUUAAAUAUAGUCUAUAUCACUAUCUAUUCAACAAAGAAGUCUUAAAAUAAAAUUAUUUACUCAUUUUUUCCUAGAAAGUUUUACCCACAAGUGUUUCUAAAAAAUUAAGAAGUUCUGAAUG
rnacentral:lncRNA from 1 species